CAGAUUAUUCCAGACUUAAGACAUGGAGAUAUAUCUUGCUAGAGCCCCCAGUAUAUAUUCAGUGUGUCCUCUGAAGUAACAACCAUCCCAUCUGGCUGAGAAGUGAUGGACACGGCUCCUUAACCACACUGUACCCUCUGUUCUUGGCACCUCUCUACCAGAAAGAUAUCAACAAAUUGGAUGGAAUUCAGAGAACAUGACUUCCUAUUAUCCUUCUCAAAGUUAUUGCUGCAGAGGAAAGAAGCAUACAUCUUUUACCCACCAGGAAACCCCCAAAGCAUCUAUUACCAUAAUAGCCAUGGGAAACAGAAGGCACCUCAAAUAAAGGUGGGGAAAAGAAUGAAAGAAAUGGCUUUGGCCUGUGCCUGUUUGACCUCUGAGAGAUACUUUUUGCAAGAAAUUGUUAAGUUUUGGCCCAAAAAGUGGUCGGUCUUUUAUCCUUCCUUGUGGAGGCCAAACUGCAAACCAGGAUGAAGAAACCAUCAGUGGCAGUUUGGGGAGGUGGAGGAGGGACUAUCUAGACUCAGUGAAUCACCAAGGAAACAUGAGGCCUAUUU
ensembl:lncRNA TUSC7 tumor suppressor candidate 7